AAGUCGUAACAAGGUUUCCGUAGGUGAACCUGCGGAAGGAUCAUUAAAGAGUAAGGGUCUCUGGCCCGAACCUCCAACCCUCUGUUGUUAUAACUACUUCGUUGCUUUGGCGGGACCGCGAAGGUUCUCCCGAGCGCGCCAGUCUCCGGACAGGCGAGCGCCCGCCAGAGUCUAACCAAACUCUUGUUUUAAACCAGUCGUCUGAGUAUAAAAUUUUAAUUAAAUUAAAACUUUCAACAACGGAUCUCUUGGUUCUC
rnacentral:misc_RNA from 1 species